rnacentral:rRNA from 1 species
AGAGUUUGAUCCUGGCUCAGAACGAACGCUGGCGGCGUGGAUUAGGCAUGCAAGUCGAACGAGAAAGGGUUCGCAAGAACCCGAGUAAAGUGGCGAAAGGGUGAGUAGUACCUAGGUAACCUGCCCUGAAGAUGAGGACAACAGCUCUAACGGGCUGCUAAUACUCAAUGUUUCCGCGACUUCGAAUGUGGUUGCGGGCAAACGGUAGCCUCUAUUUAUAAGCUUCCGCUUCAGGAGGGGCCUCGGGCCUAUCAGCUAGUUGGCGGGGUAAUGGCCCACCAAGGCUGGGACGGGUAGCCGGUCUGAGAGGAUGGUCGGCCACACUGGGACUGAGAUACUGCCCAGACUCCUACGGGAGGCUGCAGUCGAGGAUCUUCUGCAAUGGGCGCAAGCCUGACAGAGCGACGCCGCGUGGGGGAGGAAGGCCUUCGGGUUGUAAACCCCUGUUGCCGGUUAAGAAUGCUAGGGUGCGAAUAGCGCUUCUAGUUGACUAAGGCCGGUGAGGAAGCCACGGCUAACUUCGUGCCAGCAGCCGCGGUAAGACGAAGGUGGCAAGCGUUGUUCGGAAUCACUGGGCAUAAAGCGUGCGUAGGCGGCCAGAUCAGUCGGGUGUGAAAUCCCUCGGCUCAACCGAGGAACUGCGCCCGAUACUGUCUGGCUUGAGGUCCGGAGGGGAGAGUGGAAUUCCCGGUGGAGCGGUGAAAUGCGUAGAGAUCGGGAAGAACGCCGGCGGCGAAAGCGACUCUCUGGUCGGAAUCUGACGCUGAGGCACGAAAGCUAGGGGAGCAAACGGGAUUAGAUACCCCGGUAGUCCUAGCCAUAAACGAUGGGCACUAGGUAGUGGCCGUUCCUAUGCGGUCACUGCUGGAGCAAAUGUCUUAAGUGCCCCGCCUGGGAAGUACGGUCGCAAGACUAAAACUCAAAGGAAUUGACGGGGGCUCACACAAGCGGUGGAGCAUGUUGCUCAAUUCGAAGCAACGCGAAGAACCUUACCUGGGCUUGACAUGCUCGUAGUAGCUGCCUGAAAGGGCGUGCGAUCCUCUCCCGAGGAAGCGAGCACAGGUGUUGCAUGGCUGUCGUCAGCUCGUGUCGUGAGAUGUUAGGUUAAGUCCUGUAACGAGCGAAACCCUUGCCCUUAGUUGCCAGCGGGUAAAGCCGGGCACUCUAGGGGGACUGCCGGUGUCAAACCGGAGGAAGGUGGGGAUGACGUCAAGUCAUCAUGGCCCUUACGCCCAGGGCUGCAAACGUGCUACAAUGGCGGGUACAAAGGGUUGCGAACUCGCGAGAGGGAGCCAAUCCCAAAAAGCCCGUCCCAGUUCGGAUCGGAGGCUGCAAUUCGCCUCCGUGAAGUUGGAAUCGCUAGUAAUCGCGGUUCAGCUACGCCGCGGUGAAUAUGUUCCUGAGCCUUGUACACACCGCCCGUCAAGCCAUGGGAGCCGAGAGUGCCCGAAGUCGCGAUCCCAACCAGCAAUGGAGGGUAGCGCCGAAGGCAAGCUUGGUGACUGGGACUAAGUCGUAACAAGGUA